rnacentral:rRNA from 1 species
GAUUUGAGAGGAUGAUCAGCCACAUUGGGACUGAGACACGGCCCAAACUCCUACGGGAGGCAGCAGUGGGGAAUCUUGCACAAUGGAGGAAACUCUGAUGCAGCGAUGCCGCGUGAGUGAAGAAGGCCUUUGGGUUGUAAAGCUCUUUCGUCGGGGAAGAAAAUGACUGUACCCGAAUAAGAAGGUCCGGCUAACUUCGUGCCAGCAGCCGCGGUAAUACGAAGGGACCUAGCGUAGUUCGGAAUUACUGGGCUUAAAGAGUUCGUAGGUGGUUGAAAAAGUUGGUGGUGAAAUCCCAGAGCUUAACUCUGGAACUGCCAUCAAAACUUUUCAGCUAGAGUAUGAUAGAGGAAAGCAGAAUUUCUAGUGUAGAGGUGAAAUUCGUAGAUAUUAGAAAGAAUACCAAUUGCGAAGGCAGCUUUCUGGAUCAUUACUGACACUGAGGAACGAAAGCAUGGGUAGCGAAGAGGAUUAGAUACCCUCGUAGUCCAUGCCGUAAACGAUGUGUGUUAGACGUUGGAAAUUUAUUUUCAGUGUCGCAGCGAAAGCGAUAAACACACCGCCUGGGGAGUACGACCGCAAGGUUAAAACUCAAAUGAAUUGACGGGGACCCGCACAAGUAGUGGAGCAUGUGGUUUAAUUCGAAGAUACGCGCAGAACCUUACCAACACUUGACAUGUUCGUCGCGACUUUAAGAGAUUAAAGUUUUCGGUUCGGCCGGACGAAACACAGGUGCUGCAUGGCUGUCGUCAGCUCGUGUCGUGAGAUGUUGGGUUAAGUCCCGCAACGAGCGCAACCCUCACUUUUAGUUGCCAUCAUUAAGUUGGGCACUCUGAAAGAACUGCCAGUGAUAAGCUGGAGGAAGGUGGGGAUGACGUCAAGUCCUCAUGGCCCUUA